rnacentral:snRNA from 1 species
AAAAGACUUGGCUGGGACAUCUGUUACCCCAUUGAUCAUCAGAGUUGAUUUGUCCAAUCUGGCUGGCUAGGCAGGUAUUCCUUUCCUCCCUCACUGCUUCUCGUGCAUUGCUCCUGAAGCUGCAUGCCCAGUUGAAGAGGAUGACCUUCCCAGAUAGGGGACCAUUCUUCACUCAAGGGUAUACAAAUAGCUGUGCUUUUCUGCUAGAAGCUCCAAACAAGAUCUUGAGAUACAUUUGUAGGAGAACGUAGGGUAGUCAAGUUUCCAAGACUCCACUUCUGGAUUCUCUAUUC